GCGGGGAUAGCUCAGCUGGGAGAGCGUCAGACUGAAGACAGAACUUCGGUUCCAUUAUAUCUGAAGGCCGGGUGUUCGAGCCACCCUCACCGCA
rfam:Microdochium bolleyi strain J235TASD1 unplaced genomic scaffold Micbo1qcscaffold_1, whole genome shotgun sequence.